rnacentral:rRNA from 1 species
AUCAUUAUCGUAGGGCUUCGGCCCUGUCGAGAUAGAACCCUUGCCUUUUUGAGUACCUCUUGUUUCCUCGGCGGGCUCGCCCGCCGAUGGACCCCCCAAAAAACACUUUGCAGUACCUGUAAUAGUCUGAACAAUAAACAAAAAUUAAAACUUUCAACAACGGAUCUCUUGGUUCUGGCAUCGAUGAAGAACGCAGCGAAAUGCGAUAAGUAGUGUGAAUUGCAGAAUUCAGUGAAUCAUCGAAUCUUUGAACGCACAUUGCGCCCUUUGGUAUUCCUUAGGGCAUGCCUGUUCGAGCGUCAUUUAAACCUUCAAGCUCAGCUUGGUGUUGGGUGACUGUCCCCCUCAAAAGGGACUCGCCUCAAAAUCAUUGGCGGCCGGUACGUUGGCUUCGAGCGCAGCAGAAACGCGAACUCGGAGACUUUGUGUCGGCUCCCAGAAGCCAUCUUUAAAUUUUGACCUCGGAUCAGGUAGGGAUACCCGCUGAACUUAAGCAUAUCAAUAAGCGGAGGAAAAGAAACCAACAGGGAUUGCCCUAGUAACGGCGAGUGAAGCGGCAACAGCUCAAAUUUGAAAUCUGGCUCUUUCAGGGUCCGAGUUGUAAUUUGUAGAGGGUGCUUUGGAGUUGACUGUGGUCUAAGUUCCUUGGAACAGGACGUCGCAGAGGGUGAGAAUCCCGUAUGUGGCCGCCAGUCUUCGCCGUGUAAAGCCCCUUCGACGAGUCGAGUUGUUUGGGAAUGCAGCUCUAAAUGGGAGGUAAAUUUCUUCUAAAGCUAAAUAUUGGCCAGAGACCGAUAGCGCACAAGUAGAGUGAUCGAAAGAUGAAAAGCACUUUGGAAAGAGAGUCAAAAAGCACGUGAAAUUGUUGAAAGGGAAGCGCUUGCAGCCAGACUUGCCUGUAGUUGCUCAUCCGGGCUUUUGCCCGGUGCACUCUUCUACAGGCAGGCCAGCAUCAGUCCUGGCGGUUGGAUAAAUGCCUGCUAAAUGUACCUCUCUUCGGGGAGGACUUAUAGUUUCAGGCGGCAUACAACCAGCCGGGAUUGAGGUCCGCG